AUUCUAGUUAUUUUGGGUUGAUUCCCCUUGAGAGCAUAAAUUUGCCUAGGAUA
rnacentral:tRNA from 1 species